rnacentral:rRNA from 1 species
UUUGAUCAUGGCUCAGGAUGAACGCUAGCUACAGGCCUAACACAUGCAAGUCGUGGGGCAGCGGGUAUGCUUGUUUUCAAGUAUAUGCCGGCGACCGGCGCACGGGUGAGUAACGCGUAUCCAACCUGCCCAUCACAAGGGAAUAACCCGUCGAAAGUCGGCCUAAUGCCCUAUGUAUUCCGAUGAAGUCCUCUGAAUCGGAAUAAAGCAUUUGCGGUGAUGGAUGGGGAUGCGUCUGAUUAGCUUGUCGGCGGGGUAACGGCCCACCGAGGCGACGAUCAGUAGGGGUUCUGAGAGGAAGGUCCCCCACAUUGGAACUGAGACACGGUCCAAACUCCUACGGGAGGCAGCAGUGAGGAAUAUUGGUCAAUGGGCGUGAGCCUGAACCAGCCAAGUAGCGUGCAGGAUGACGGCCCUAUGGGUUGUAAACUGCUUUUAUACGGGGAUAAAAGGGUGAACGUGUUCUCCUUUGCAGGUACCGUAUGAAUAAGGACCGGCUAAUUCCGCGCCAGCAGCCGCGGUAAUACGUAUGUCGCGAGCGUUAUCCGGAAUUAUUGGGCAUAAAGGGCAUCUAGGCGGACGAUCAAGUCAGGGGUGAAAACUUGCGGCUCAACUGUAAGCUUGCCUUUGAAACUGAUUGUCUAGAGUAUUGGAAAGGUGGGCGGAACUACACGAGUAGAGGUGAAAUUCGUAGAUAUGUGUAGGAAUGCCGAUGAUGAAGAUAGCUCACUGGACGAUAACUGACGCUGAAGUGCGAAAGCUAGGGGAGCGAACAGGAUUAGAUACCCUGGUAGUCCUAGCUGUAAACGAUGAUCACUGGGUGUGGGCAGGAAGACUGUCUGUGCCGAAGCAAAUGCGAUAAGUGAUCCGCCUGGGGAGUACGACCGCAAGGUUGAAACUCAAAGGAAUUGACGGGGACCCGCACAAGCGGUGGAGCAUGUGGUUUAAUUCGACGCAACGCGAGGAACCUUACCAGAUCUUGACAUCCUACGAACAUGUAUGAGGAUACAUGGUGCCUUCGGGAACGUAGAGACAGGUGGUGCAUGGCUGUCGACAGCUCGUGUCGUGAGAUGUUGGGUUAAGUCCCGCAACGAGCGCAACCCUUAUCGUUAGUUACCAUCAUUAAGUUGGGGACUCUAGCGAGACUGCCUGCGAAGAGCAGGAGGAAGGUGGGGAUGACGUCAAGUCAUCAUGCCCCUUAUGAUCUGGGCUACACACGUGCUACAAUGGGCAGUACAGAGAGGAGCGAGAUAGUGAUAUGGAGCGAAUCUUGAAAGCUGUUCUAAGUUCGGAUUGAAGUCUGCAACUCGACUUCAUGAAGUUGGAAUCGCUAGUAAUCGCAAAUCAGCAAUGUUGCGGUGAAUACGUUCUCGGGUCUUGUACACACCGCCCGUC